AAAUUGAAGAGUUUGAUCAUGGCUCAGAUUGAACGCUGGCGGCAGGCCUAACACAUGCAAGUCGAACGGUAACAGGAAGAAGCUUGCUUCUUUGCUGACGAGUGGCGGACGGGUGAGUAAUGUCUGGGAAACUGCCUGGUGGAGGGGGAUAACUACUGGAAACGGUAGCUAAUACCGCAUAA
rnacentral:rRNA from 1 species